GAUGAACGCUGGCGGCGUGCCUAAUACAUGCAAGUCGAGCGAACAGACGAGGAGCUUGCUCCUCUGACGUUAGCGGCGGACGGGUGAGUAACACGUGGAUAACCUACCUAUAAGACUGGGAUAACUUCGGGAAACCGGAGCUAAUACCGGAUAAUAUAUUGAACCGCAUGGUUCAAUAGUGAAAGACGGUUUUGCUGUCACUUAUAGAUGGAUCCGCGCCGCAUUAGCUAGUUGGUAAGGUAACGGCUUACCAAGGCGACGAUGCGUAGCCGACCUGAGAGGGUGAUCGGCCAAACUGGAGCUGAGACACGGUACAGACUCCUACGGGAGGCAGCAGUAGGGAAUCUUCCGCAAUGGGCGAAAGCCUGACGGAGCAACGCCGCGUGAGUGAUGAAGGUCUUCGGAUCGUAAAACUCUGUUAUUAGGGAAGAACAAAUGUGUAAGUAACUAUGCACGUCUUGACGGUACCUAAUCAGAAAGCCACGGCUAACUACGUG
rnacentral:rRNA from 1 species